AGGCUUCUCAAUUUACAAGAGAUGAGAUGGAGUCUCUUGCAGCUUUUCAUGAUGAAGAUUGGGACUCAUUAAACAGAAUGUUCUCCAAAGAAGAUCAGCUUGAUUUCACACACCAAAUUCUUCACCAGUUCUCGUUUCCUAUGGAGCAUGACGAGCAGUCAAGCUUCUUAAAUCCGUCGACUUUUGUCCUAAUCUUGAAACCAAUAUGAGUGUUGCUGGGUUCAGUGAGAGUUUGCUUCGUUCUUCCAAUGCUCAUGACUUUCAUUUUCACUACAAAUCUUGGGAAAGUAAUCAAAGUAGCAAUUCUAGCAGUAAUACCUUUGUCCCCCCUUCCAAAUCAUUAAUCCUAUUUUCUUGGUGGUUCUAAUCAUAUUGCUGUAGCAAAUGAUAUGGCGAUGUCAUUGGAUAUUCCAGUGGACUUUGGCGGGGGGAGUGAUAAAAUUACUGAUUUGUUUCCCCCCGCGUUCUCAAACAUUGCAAUGGAAGACACUGACAUUAUAAUGCUUCUGUGAAGCUGACUGAAUUUCAUUCAUUCUAUGUUGUCUGAUCUUCCUCUUACUGUAAUAAUGUUUGUGCAUUUUCUUGAUAUAUGUUGUAAUUGUGUCUGGAUUUUUUUAGUUGAAGAAAUAUUGAUGGCAAAAUGCAGGUAUAGAAGCAAGGGGAUUCAUUUUUGGCCCACCUAUAGCAUUGGCUAUUGGGGCAAAGUUUGUUCCUAUGAGGAAACCCAAUAAAUUGCCGGGUACAUCCUCUUCUUCCUUUAUUAUCUCCUAAUGAAUUUUACAUUUCUGUUGCUGCAAGUUGUUAAUAGCAUUGAAACUUUGAUUAGCUAUUAAAGAACCGCAAUGAGGAGCUGUUAUUUAUGAUAAUGUGGUUCAUUGUGGAUAAUCUUGCCUUCUGUUCUGUUUCAGCUAUUGCCAAAUUCUCCAACACAUUCAAGAACUGUUCAAAGGAAUAUGAUCUUUCUGUUAACUGUUAAACGUUUGGAUCUUUAUAGGGGAGGUUUUAUCGGAGGAGUAUUCUUUGGAGUAUGGAAAGGACACAAUGGAGAUGCAUGUUGAUGCUGUCAAAGCAGGAGAACGUGCUUUGAUAAUAGAUGAUCUUGUUGCCACUGGUGGAACCUUGUCUGCUGCAAUCAGGCUACUCGGUAUUUGAAUUUAAAUAUGAAUGUAGGGACCUUGCUUACUUUGAUCUUUAUGUGCCAUAAUAUGGUAGAGAGUGGCUUUGCUCUGUUGCAGUCACUUUCAUGUUUGGUUAUAAGUGCUCCUGUGAUUUAAGGAGGAGAACAAGUGCCUUAGGAUUGCCUUUUCCAUGUGUUGGAACAUCAACCUGCUCCUGUUUAUCUUAUUAGGGCAAUGAUGUUUAUAUGAUUAGCUGUUUCUUUGCAGAACGCGUAGGGGUGCAUGUUGUGGAGUGUGCUUGUGUUAUUGAAUUACCCGAGCUAAAGGUAUGUGUUUCUAAUCUCAGACCUACCUGCUACCUGUUAGUCAUUAAUUCAUUAAACUAAUGUAUUCUAUAGGUCUCUAUAACAGUGCUUAGCUUUACACAGACUCAUUAGUCUGGAACUUUUAUGACUGAUAAAACUAAAGGUUGCGGUAGUUAACUUAUUCAUAAAUGUUCUAUGGAGCAGCUUAUAGUUGCGCAUAUCAAGGGAGUAAUUAUAAACUUUUAGAAUUCUAAUUCAUCUUUAGAAGGGCAAAAAAAAAAAAGUGUAGAUCGUGUAUAUGGAAAAGUCUGCCAGAAAUUGCUUAAGGUGAUCAGAAUUGUUGGGCUUUCCUAAUGUCAUACUAGGUGAAAGGAUGAAUCUCAUAUCUGUUUGUUUCAUAGGCUAACCUAUGCUGGAACAUGUUAGGCCAGAAAUAAAUUCUUAGAGAUAAAAUAAUGUCAAUGUCAUCUUCAAUACCACUGUAAGUAUUCUUUGUGAGCAUGAUGCAAGGUUUCGAAAGGUGUGAUACCUCUUAUUCUUUUACCAAUUGCAUUCAUUCAUUUGUUUUUCCUUUUAUGUCCAUUGGAGGUUUAUAUGGUAGGCCCUGUGCAUUUCUAUUAAAAUAAAACUAACAAAGUCUAUGGCAAUAAGUUUCAUGUAAUCAUUAAUGUUAAUAUCAAAUUCUACUACAGCAUUGAAGCAUGGAUGUAAGUUUGCAUGGAAAAUUUUAGGCCCGUGUUGACAGUAAACUGAAAAUUACGUCUAUUGGAGCUUUAAAAUAUAGCUUCGUUUCAGUUUUUGCUAUACACCUUUCUUGAUUUCAUGUAUGAUGUAUCAACUAGUAGACCUUUGAAAUUACUAACUUGUGUUUAAUGUUGGUUUCUGAUGUCUCAUGUGCUAUGAGUCAAGGAUAAAGUAUAUUAUACAUUUAUGCCUAGUCAUCCGCUUCCUUUUUAAUGUUUUCUCGUUUUAUAUUUCAGGGACGGGAACGGUUAGGAGAGAAACCACUGUUUGUUCUUGUAAGCUCCACUUGAUCAUCUUACAUAUUUUGUGGUGCAAGAGCUUGUUUAUUGGCCUUCAUUGAGUGUUGCAACAUGGCUAGAACUUUCCCCGAAAGCCUUGAAUAACUACUAUGUUAAAUAAAAAGAGCUACAUUAGGUAAAUAAGGUGAGACGUUAGAUUGAACUAAGAAGUAUGAUAACUUAGAUGUUGAUGUUUCCUGUUUCUCUAAAGAGCGAGUAUGGAGGACAAAGCUUUAUGUUCCUGCCUGUAAGGUUGAUUUGCCUUGUAUCAUAUGAUGAAAGGUAUAUUAUGUUGUUAAUGGCAUUGCUGUGUUUUCAAACUGAAUUCACCGGUUUUAACCUUUGAUGCGAACAAAUACCUCAUUGUGAGCACAUUUCGAUAAAUUAUGCCCCAGUAAAAAAACAAUUCACAUUUUAUCACCUAUGAGCCAAUGAUUGAAGUAUGGUUACAUAUAACAAAUAAUAUGUAGUUUGACAAUUUUUGCACAAAGUUUCAGGGGAAAAUUUAUAGACAUGGUAAUACGUCGGGUAAAAGAAUUUCGCAGUUAGUUUUGAACUUCCAAAGCGAAGAGACUAGUGUAAACUCUCAUAUUUCUGCUCCAUUCAUCACCCUCUUUAAGACGACAUUAAGCAACUAUUGUCUUGCAUUAUUUUGUUUGCCAAGCAUUUGAAUUUUUGGACCCAAGACUAGCUUUUCACCCUGGCUUGGGCUCCAUAGCAUCAAACUAGUUUGCCAAUUGCUGACUGCUGAGGGUAUUUCCCGUCUCGUCAUCAUUUCACAAAUGUGGCAAUUAGUCAGUGUAUAUAUUACAUUCAUGGUAUGUAUUAUAUCAAUUUUAAUGGGGGCAUCACUGGUCUUGGGCCAUGGGAUAAAAUGGUUAUAUCGCGAUUUUAAAUUCUAAGCUCAGUAAUUCAAUUUAAUUAUUUUGGCAUACUUUGUCUCCACAAUUUGAAUUUUUAUUUUAACCCUUAUAAAAAUUUUCUAACUUUAAUAUGUCGAGUUUGUAAUUGUAUGUUUCUCAAGUGCGGGGCUCUUUUCUUCUCCAAACCUUAAGUUUUGGUGUGGUUCUAAAAAUGAAGAUGCAACAAGGAGACAUUCAGGUGCCGAUGAAUGGGCAUGAGUUCCAUUACAGAUAUGAGGAUUUGGAUAAAGAAGACUGUUUUCUUGGUUGUUUGGAGUUUUAUGGGUGGUCUUUUUUUGCCCGGUUAAACAAAUUUAAGUACUAUGAAUGCUGAACCUCUUACUAAAAUAUAUAACCAGGAUCUGUUUUUGAGAACUAAUUUUGUCACUUGCCAUUAUCCCUUUUAUUAUUAUUAUGGUUUUUCCUUGUCUGUGGAUUUAGUCUUACUUGAUAGUGGUCUAAUACCAAAUCAUGAACUUGUGUGUAUAAUUUUUUUUAAGUCAGAAGUUUGAAUAAAACUUGUUUCUUUUCAAAUAACCCUCCUCCCGCAUGCUCUUCCAAAGCAUUUAUUCUCAAACUUUUUUCCCUAAAAUAUAUAUACUAAAUAAAAUACAGAAAAAGGAAUUAAUUGUAUCACUUAUUUUAGUCAGCCAUCUUCCCAAUAAUAAUAAAAAAAGAGUAUGGAAUUGGUCCCUGGGGGGCUAGAUAUACAUAAUCGGUUCAUUUUAUUUAAUCUUUAUUUGAUUAAUUCUCAUAUUUCCCAUGAAAUAAUAUAUAAUUUUUAAUAAUAAAAGUUGACAUUUUACUUAGUUUACCAUUUUUUAAACCAUAAUUAAAUGCCCCUAUAAAAUAUAAAUUAAGUGAGCAUUGACUUUUUGUAGUUUAUUUAUUACAAGCAAAAGGUAAGACAAUAGAAAAUUGUAUUAAAAAAAAGUAAAUCAUAAUUCUUUAAGAGGAUUGAAGCUUCUACAAUUUUUUUCCUUGAAUAUUUCAUAAUUAACGAACCUAAUAAUUCCAAAGAAGACCAUUUUGAUUUGUCUUUUUUAAUUGAGGGAGAUCUUUUUUCUCUCAUAACAUUAAUAUAUAUUCACUAUAUAGAUACUUAUAGCUUGUUAUUCCUCAACAUUUGAGAUUGAGCAGUAAGCUCAAUAAACCUCUGAAACACACGUUCUUCAGUCAUAUUUUUUUAGCUUUAACACUAAAAAGGAUCUCAUUUAUUUAUUAUUUUUACAUCUUUACGAAAAUAAGCACUACUUAUUAAUUGUAAUUUCUAACGCCAAUUAUUAUAUUCAAUUGCCAUCUUACAUAAGUUUAUAGUGACGAACUACUUGACCACUCAUCUCUAACUCACCAAUAAAGACUUGAAGCGUGAUAUCUCAAGGCCAUGGCUAAGAGUAUCAAAGUCCAUGCCACAACAUGAAAAAAGGACUCUCUCUCUCUCUAUUUCCUACUAUGCAUAAUAUCUCAAUAGUAAGGAAAACAACUAUGUACCUACGUAACAUAUAUGUGACAUUAUACAUAUUAAAUUUUGUUAUAGUUAUGGUAUGGGCGAAAAAAAUGUACAAUUAAAAUUAUGGGGUGUUUGGUAAACAGAGUUUUGAAUUUUUUUAGCUGAUUUUGGCACAAAUAGAGAAUUGGGAAGUUUGUAAAAGGUUGUUGAGCUAAAACCUCUAAAACAAAAAAUGUUAGAAUGAACAACUUUUUUCAACCGCUGAUAGGGAAUGAGAUACGUGCAAUGACAUAUUUGACCAUAUUUGCUCAAAAACUAUUCCCUUUGCCACAUAUUCUCAAACUUAAUAGGGGUGUCAAGAUAUCAGUAGCCUCCAUUCUCCCAUUUUCGCUUUCAUCUCCAAAGUGCAAAGUAAAUCUUAAAAAAAAACCUCCAUUGUGAAUCUACAAAAAUCAACAUUGCCGCGAUAAAUUUUCAAUCGAGCCCAUUCAUCCUUGAAUAUUUAUGUACUCUUAAUUUAUUUUCAGUUUACUUGUGCAAAAUAAUUUCUUAUGCAGUUUAUAUUAAUUAAAACAUGCUACUUCACAAAUUUAUUUAGAGUGUGACAUAAUUAUCACUAAUUUACAUACUAAGAACAUGACAUAAUUAUCACUAAGAAUAUAGUUUACAAUUAUAUUGAUACACUAUUAAUAUUUAUCAAUUUCCACAAGGUUAAUAUUUACAAAUAAGGAACUUAAGAAAUUUGUUUAUUUAAAAUUUUAAAAAUAUUCAUUAAUUAAUUUUCAUAAUGGUUUUUUUAAUUCCUUGGUAAUAGUGUUUUAUUUCAAUAAUUUCAUCCAAUAAGCACUAAAGUAUUAUAAACAAAUAAAUAUUUAAUAAUAAAAUGUGUCAUGCGUUUAUUUGUCAUUUUACACAUAUCAGCUUUCAGCUAAAUUUUACCAAACACUUUUAAAUAAACAAUUAAUAGAACUAAUUGGUCAAAUGUACCAGCCUAAUUUUCAGUGGUGUCAAAAAUAGUGAUUCGAGAUCACUAAAUCCGACCAGUGAGUUUUAAAAUUUAAUAAAUUAAUAAUUAUGGGUCAAGUUUGAAUUUAGAAAAAAAUUUUGAAUUAGUGAAUUUUGUGAUUUAAAAAGAAUUUAAUAGGUAAAUUGGGCCUAAAACGAGGUAUCGAGACCUCAAAUUUAUAAGCCGAGCCAUAAAUAUUUUUAUAAAUAUUUAUGGAGUGUCAUUGAGUUAGUAUAAAAGUUUCGUUAGAAAAUUUUAACGUUUGGAUAGUCAAUUAAUUAAAAAGGACUAAAUUGAGAAUAGUGCAGAAUUUGUUAAAUUGUCAUUAAAUAGCUUAAGUGACUAAUAAGGAGGGAUUUAAAAGGAAAUUAGACCCAAAUUAUAUGGGGUGGACGGUUGGGAAAGAAAAAUCAGCAAGAAAGUAAGGAGAAACAAGGGCAAAAUUGGAAAUUUUAUAAAUUAAAUAUAUAAAACAAAGAUAAAAGUGAAAAAUCUAGAGAUUUCUUCAUAAUUUAUCAGCAAAAACGCCAUAGGAGGUCUGAAACAAACUGGUUUUUCAUAUUUUUAUACCAUGUGAGUUCAAUUCUUACUUUUUUUUUGAAAUUUUUAUGUUUUGUGACUUUUACAACUAGGUCCAACUAUUAAAUUCAUUAGUUUUGAUUCCAUGGGUGAUUUUGCAAGUUACUAUGAAUAAUUUCUGGAAUUUUAUGAUGAUUUAAUAUAUAUUUUAAGUUUUAAUUUCAUUAUAUUAUGAUUUUAUUAAGUGAUUUUAGCAUAAAAUGAUUUUUAGGACCUAAUUGUGAAAGAGUUAGGAAUUGGGGUUUUGUACUGAAAUUAUGAAUAUAAAAGGCUGCAUAGUAGUCUAAAAUUAUUAGAUAAAGUGUUAUUUUAGGAAAAUUGUUCAAUUAAAGUGUUAAUUGAGUAGGGACUAAAUUGUAAAAACUGUAAAUUUUUGGGGUAAAAGUGUAAUUUCGAAAAUUGAACGGCAUAAAUUGUGAAAUGAAUUAGUACUGAAUUAGAUGCUAAUGAAUGGAAAAAAUUAUAUUAUAGAUCGGGAAUCCGAAGAUAAACGCGGAAAAGAGAAAGUAUCAAACUAGUCUCUGAACUUUUACAACUCCUACAAAUUGGCCCAUGUAAGUUCAUACGGCUGAACUUUUAUGAUUAAUUGUUAAUGUGGGAAUUAUAUAUUGUAUCAAUUCGUAUAUUUUUGUUGGAUUAUGAUUAUGGUAAAAAUGAGAAAAAAAAAUGAGAUUGUUAGUUCAAAUUAAGGGAUAUGCAGGAUUGAGAACAUACGUUCAGUAACCAGUGAUAAAUUGACGAAUAAGUCCAUGGUGGAUCCAUGGCAAAGUGUGGAAUGUAGGUAUGGUAUUUCAGUAAAGAAAACCAUACUGAGUUGUGAAAAGUAAGUAUGAUAUUUCAGUAAAGAAAACCAUACUGAGUUGUGAGAAGUAGGUAUGGUAUUUCAGUAACGAAAAUCAUACUGUGUUGUGAAAAGUAUGUAUGGUAUUUCAGUGAAGAAAACCAUACUGAGUUAUAGCAUUGUAAAAGAUUCAAGCAAAUCGUGGCACUGGGCAAACGAUGUACUCAAAUCCGUAAGACGAUCCUUAUUUUGUACAAGUAUUUAAAAGUGCAAUUGAAGCUAAAUGUUGGAAUAUAAGUUGACAUCUGAUAUUGAGCUCGAUUGAAAAAAUUCAUUAUUUGAGAUUGUGGUUGGCAGGAAAUGUUGAAUUUUUAUUUGUUUAUUAAUAUUGUUAGUGAAAUUUUGGUAAUAUUUUAUUAUGAGCCUAUGAACUUACUAAGCUUUCUGCAAGCUUACUUAUGUGUGUUUAUUGUUUCUUAUAGGUUGAUAAAUAUAUAUGUUCGGAGAAUCAGAUCUACAUCAACGAUCACACUAUCUAGAUUUACUCCGGUAGAUUUUGUUAAACAACUUUUUAAUUUAUAUAGCAUGUAUUGGGACUUGGUCGUUUUGUGUGUAUUCUUAUGAUAUGGCUAAGGAGUAGCAAGUAAAUUUUCGAUAAUGAUUAACUAUUGAAUUGGUUAUAUAAGAACGUGAUUUGGUGUUGUGUAUGCUUAAAUGAUAGUUAAUACAAAGAAAUUAUAAAAGAGUAAAAAUUUGCAAUGGGACAGUUUUUGGACAGCUGCAUUGAUGUGAUUUUGAAAAAUCACCAAAAAAUGGUGGAAAUUGAAUUAGAGAGUGAAUAAGAUAUAGAAUUAAAUCUGAAUGAAUCUAUUUUCACAUGAAAGAAAUAGAGUAAGCAAAAGAGUUGUAUAUUUUUAGAUAUUUGAAUUUUAGUGAGACAGGAUCAUAAUAGCUUUUGAAAUCCCCUAUUCUGACUUUAUAAAAUCAUUAAAAAAUCUACAAAAAUAAUUUGGAGUUGUAAUUUAUAUGUUUUAUAUUCCUUAGUGAGUCUAUUUUCAAUAGAAACAAACGAGAAUGUUAUCCGAAUUCUGUACAUUGAGAUAAUUAAUUUUUAGUGAGCUGUUGAACAGUAAAACAGUAGAAACUUUAAAGAAUAAACUGUACUAAUUGGCUAAACCAAAAAUUCUGGAAAUUUUAUGGUAAUAAGAUAUAUGAGUCUAGUUUCAGGGAAAAUUUACAUAUCUAAAUUUCGAGUUUCAUAACUCGAGUUAUAAUUAAAUUAGUGACUGUUGCGCAGGUGGACAGUUUUAUUGUGAAUAGUGAAAUAAAUUGUUUUGAUUUGAUUAAGUAUUCGGAAAAUUUUUGAUGUUCUCGGUUUAGACCUGAACCAUUUUUAUUGCAUGAUUUAGGGUGUUACAUCAAACUAGCCAUUGCAAUCAGUAAUCAACUAUCAACCAAUUACUAAACAGGACCUAUAUUUAUACAAAAACUAAUUAAUAAUUUAGUUAUAGACAAUAUGAUAAAGAGCUUAUGAUUAAAUUUACCCUUAAAUUUGGAUUUAAUCUUUAGACAUUUGAAUUUUUGUUGUUGUUUUAUUUAAACAUUUCAUAUAAAAGUAAUAAAAGAUGAAAAUACAAUUAAAGUAAUAUUUAUUUUUUAUUAAAAAAGUUUUUAUUGAUGUCAAAUUAACUUGUGACAUCGGUUCAAUAAAAAAGUAUGCAUAGUAUAUCUAUUUUGACUUUUUUUUUGUAUAUAUAUAUAUAUCAUAUAUAUUGAUAUAUAUCAUAUAUAUUGACUUUUUUUUGUUAAUUUUUUUUUUUGUAUAUAUAAAACAUGUGUUGACAUUUUUUUGUUAAGUUUAUUUUUAUACAUGGAUCUUGACAAAGUUGUAUAUUCAAUGUACUAUACUAUAGAUUGAAAAUGUGUAAUAAAUGAAAAAAACAUUAUAUAAAAAAAACAUUAAUUAUUUUGUUUUAGUAAUAAUGAAUAAUUUUUUAUCAAUAUGAAAAUGCAAUUUAUGAUGGGCUAAAUAUUUUUUUGAUUAAACUUUGUAGAGACAAACAGAAAAAACAAAUUAAAAAUUUGGUAACCGUGGACUGAGCUCACGCACAUAAUAUUGAUGAUGAAAGCCAAGUUGUACCAACCAGACGGCUCACAUUAACAUGGUUAUUUUAAGAGAUCAUAUUUAUUCUGUAUUAAUCUAUGUAGAUUACAAAAAUCUACAUGAAUAAAAUUAAUUUAAUUAAGAGUUUACCAAAGUUAACUAUCUCUUUCAGGUUUGUCAAGUGAAGUGGUUCACCUUUGCUUAUAUAUUGCAUCAAGUAAUUAAUUAAUAUUAAUUAGUGUUUAGUGUCGUUUACAGGGAAACAAUAAUUUGAAACAUGUCGUUUUAGUAAAUGGACAGAUGGGAAAAGAGUGAUGGUCCAAAUUACAUGGUCGUUGGUAUAGUUUUGUUGAGACAUGAAGUGGAAAGUGCUAAUUCUAAAUUCCAAUAUCAGAUUUUGAUUUGUUAAAAAUCCCACUUUCUUUAAGUUCCUUCGACAUAAAUGUUUGAAAGGUCGUCCAACGGCUGGUGCAAGUUCCUCUGUUUGUCUGACACGUCAGUUUUGACGAGGGUUUUAAGCUUGAUUAAUGGCUAUUAUUAUUGUCUGUAGAUUUCAUUGCUGCAGUAUUAGCAGAAGCUUGUGCUUAUGAAUUUUCCUUUGCAAUGGCUUCAAGUAUUGAACUUGAACUGUUAAAACUAAUCAGCUGUAAAGGAAUGACUUUGUACCAGUCUUACUCUUACCAAUAUAUAAUAUUUGAUUGAUCAUAGCUAGCAAGUUAAAGCUAAGGACAGGGAAGGAGUUUGGCGGUUACCGUGUCGGAUUUUUUUAAGCUUAUUUUAAUUAAAGAAUGUAAAGUCUCAUUUCCUCACGAUGUGCAGGGCCGUCCUAUAGCUGCAGUCUUUGUUUGUUUGUUUAAUCUGCUUAACGUUCUUGAUGUUUAUUAUAUUCAAGGGAGAGUCCCACGUUGUGACAUUUCAUUGGUGGGAGGAUUAGUCGAAUUCAUACGCGUGCUUCAUUCACUCUCACCUACUUAAUUAAUGGCUAAUUAAUCACAUUUAGUCACCUCUCAAUGAUUGUUCUUGGACCAUUAAGUCAUUGUAACUGCAAUUUUAUCAGGUCCACGGUGUUUGAGGGUCACUGAACACUUUCAAUUAGUUUAAUCCAACAAUGCAUGAACUUGGCCUUCCUAUGAGCUGUACUUUGCCUGGUUUUGGCCCCAUCUUUGGACUCCUGGAUUAGUAACAGAAUAAUGAUUUUGGAAUUAAGAAUGGAAGUCAAUCCUUGCUAACAUUCUCUUUAGAAUUUGGGGUAUAAAUAUGUCCCUAGUUCUUUCCUCACCUCAAACAAACCCUUCCUUGUUUUCCCCAUAGGCUUCUCAAUUUACAGGAGAUAAGAUGGAGUCUGUUGCAGCUUUUCAUGAUGGACCUUGGGACUCAUUUAACAUAAUGUUCUCCAAUGAAGAUCAUCUGGAUUUCACACACCAGGUUCUUAAUCAGUUUUCGUUUCCGCUGGAGCAUGACGAGCGGUUGAGCUUCAUAAAUCCGUCGACUUUUGCUCCUAAUCUUGAAGCCGAUAUGAGCAUUGCUGGGGUCAGUCAGAGUUUGUUUAGUUCUUCCAAUGCUCUCGACUCUCAUUUUCACUACAAAACUCAGGAAAGUAAUCAAAGUAGCAAUUCUAGCAGUAAUACCUUUGUUCCCCUUCC
rnacentral:lncRNA from 1 species